ensembl:snRNA U6 U6 spliceosomal RNA
GUGCUUGCUUCGGCAGCACACAUACUAAAAUUGGAACAAUACAGAGAUUAGCAUGGCCCCUGCAUGAGGAUGACAUGCAAAUUCGUGAAGCAUUCCAUACAUGU